UUCGUUGCAACAGAACAAGGAAAAGGUUAUACAGUUUAAAAUCGCACAUAAAUUUUGAAGACGGUUCCGUGGCCGAAUGAUUAGCGCUAUUGACUCACAGUCAGCUACUAUCUGUUGGAUUAUGACUGAACGCCUCUAAGUCAGAAUCCUUGCUAGAACGCAACGAUAAUUACCUCCGGAGAAUCUUAGGCGAACAAGGAUAGAGAACGGGCUUGCCCGCUCUCCUGCGUCCCAAUGUGCCAAGAGGGACAACAACCCUCAAGGCACUAAAGUAUAUCAAAGUUUAAAAUUUCUGGAGAUAAAUCCUUUGCAGACGACUUAAAUAAAGAACGGGGUAUUGUACGUUGUAGAGUAGCCUUGUUGCUACGAUCUUCUGAGAUUAAGCCUUUGUUCUACGAUUU
rnacentral:ncRNA from 1 species